GACGGUGGCGCUAAUGCACCGUAACGCUGGAUACCAACCAACCGCCGUAAAACAAGAAGAACAACCCUCGCGAGAUAUAACACGAGUUUGAGUCCACGCUCCGGUCAAAUGAUACAAACCGUGGGAGAGUGACGACGCAGCUUCAGAUGUACCGCGAGACCACGAGUGUGGCGGGAAAACAACACUGAUUGACCUCAGGGACUCAAAGUGACCACACGGGGCACCAGAGGACCAUACGUCUGUAACGCAUAGAUAAAGACGCGGAGCUAGAACCGUGGACAGGUGAGACCCUCAGAGUCCUCACUGAGCCACUGAAGAGGAUGUUGUGAUGUCAUCGGUGACAUCAGAAGAUUGACCUCAGUGACUGAAAGUGACCACACGGGGCACCAGAGGACCAUACGUCUGUAACGCAUAGAUAAAGACGCGGAGCUAGAACCGUGGACAGGUGAGACCCUCAGGUGCGUCUCAGCUGGAUAUAGUCUGUUCACAGAUGGAAGGGGCCGUGACAUAACCGGACUGAAGCGCAUUCUGAUCCAGGGUCAGAUCUGUGUUCUUCAGUGGAGGCUCCACCUUUUCACUAACGCUGCUUUCUGAUUGGUCCUCGCAGAGUCCUCACUGAGCCACUGAAGAGGAUGUUGUGAUGUCAUCGGUGACAUCAGAAGGGAUGAAGUAACGGCGCUCUCUGCUGACUCACUGAUGUAACAACAAGUGUCAAAAUAAAUGCGUUGAUCACAAACA